UACGGGGGGGGCAAGCGUUGUUCGGAAUUACUGGGCGUAAAGGGCUCGUAGGUGGCCAACUAAGUCGGGCGUGAAAUCCCACGGCUCAACCGUGGAAGUGCAUUCGAAACUACAGGGCUAGAGUUCUGGAGAGGAAGGUGGAAUGCUUGGUGUAGAGGUGAAAUUCGUAGAUAUCAAGCGGAACACCGGUGGCGAAGGCGGCCUUCUGGACAGUAACUGACGCUGAGACGCGAAAGCGUGGGGAGCAAACAGG
rnacentral:rRNA from 1 species